CCUACGGGUGGCUGCAGUGAGGAAUAUUGGUCAAUGGGCGCGAGCCUGAACCAGCCAAGUCGCGUGAAGGAUGACUGCCCUACGGGUUGUAAACUUCUUUUAUAAAGGAAUAAAGUGAGGCACGUGUGCCGUUUUGUAUGGACUUUAUGAAUAAGGAUCGGCUGACUCCGUGCCAGCAGCCGCGGUAAUACGGAGGAUUCGAGCGUUAUCCGGGUUUUUUGGGGUUAAAGGGAGGGGAGGUGGGUUGGUAAGGUCGUUGGGAAAGUUUGGGGCUAAACCGACAAAGUGCCAUUGAUACUGGCAGUCUUGAGUACAGUUGAGGUAGGCGGAAUGCGUGGUGUAGCGGUGAAAUGCUUAGAUAUCACGAAGAACUCCGAUUGCGAAGGCAGCUUACUAAACUGCCACUGACAUUGAUGCACGAAAGUGUGGGUAUCAAACAGGAUUAGAUACCCCAGUAGUC
rnacentral:rRNA from 1 species